CCUACGGGAGGCAGCAGUGGGGGAUAUUGCACAAUGGGGGAAACCCUGAUGCAGCGACGCCGCGUGGGUGAAGAAGCGCCUCGGCGCGUAAAGCCCUGUCAGCAGGGAAGAAAAUGACCGUUACUUAAGUAGGAGCCCCGGCUAACUACGGGCCAGCAGCCGCGGUAAUACGUAGGGGGCCAGCGUUAUCCGGAUUUACUGGGUGUAAAGGGGGCGCAGACGGGGGUGCAAGCCAGGAGUGAAAGCCCGGGGCUCAACCCCGGGACUGCUCUUGGAACUGCGUGGCUAGAGUGCAGGAGGGGCAGGCGGAAUUCCUGGUGUAGCGGUGAAAUGCGUAGAUAUCAGGAGGAACACCAGUGGCGAAGGCGGCCUGCUGGACUGCAACUGACGUUGAGGCCCGAAAGCGUGGGGAGCAAACAGGAUUAGAUACCCUUGUAGUC
rnacentral:rRNA from 1 species